GUAUUCCUACGGGACGCAGCAGUGAGGAAUAUUGGUCAAUGGGCGGAAGCCUGAACCAGCCAAGUCGCGUGAGGGAAGAAGGCCCUGCGGGUCGCAGACCUCUUUGGACGGGGAGCAAGGCCGCCGACGUGUCGGCGGAAGGAGAGUACCCGUAGAACAAGCAUCGGCUAACUCCGUGCCAGCAGCCGCGGUAAUACGGAGGAUGCGAGAGUUAUCCGGAUUUAUUGGGUUUAAAGGGUGCGCAAGCGGCACGGCAAGCCGGCGGGCAAAUCGCGGGGCUCAACCCCGCCCAGCCGUCGGAACUG
rnacentral:rRNA from 1 species